UGCCCCGUGGUGUAAUUGGCAACACGUCUGACUCUGGAUCAGAAGAGUCCUGGUUCGAGCCCAGGAGGGGCAAC
rnacentral:tRNA from 1 species